rnacentral:tRNA from 1 species
GCCUUCGUGGUGUAGUGGUAGCAUGCUCGGCGCAUAUUCGAGAGGCCCGAGGUUCGAGUCCCGGCUAAGGCA